UACGAAGGGGGCUAGCGUUGCUCGGAAUCACUGGGUUUAAAGGGUGUGUAGGCGGGCUUUUAAGUCAGUGGUGAAAUCUCCGGGCUCAACCCGGAAACUGCCAUUGAAACUGUAAGACUUGAGGACGAGAGAGGUGAGUGGAAUUCCCAGUGUAGAGGUGAAAUUCGUAGAUAUUGGGAAGAACACCAGUGGCGAAGGCGGCUCACUGGCUCGUAUCUGACGCUCAGGCGCGACAGCGUGGGGAUCAAACAGG
rnacentral:rRNA from 1 species